GGUUGAUCCUGCCAGUAUUAUAUGCUGAUGUUAAAGAUUAAGCCAUGCAUGUGUAAGUUUAAAGACCAAGUAGGAUGAAACUGCGGACGGCUCAUUAUAACAGUAAUAGUUUCUUUGGUUAGUAAGUAUAAGGAUAACUUUGUGAAUGAUAAAGCUAAUACUUGAGACGAUCCGGGGAGUAUUUAUACUUCUCGGCCGCUGGCCGUAAGGUUGGCGAGAAAUGACAUUCCCUUGUGAGAAAGGAUGCCAUGACAAUUGAAGAAAGCAACGCUUUUUACAAGUAACCAAUGGG
rnacentral:rRNA from 1 species